rfam:Bombyx mori DNA, contig: Bm_scaf36_contig21702, strain: p50T/Dazao, build 2, whole genome shotgun sequence.
UGAACUCAAAUUUGUAUGGAGUUGGAACUGUUGCUUUGGUUUGCCGUUAGGGACGCUGUUCCAACUGCAUACAAAUUUAAGUUA